ACGCUGACAAAGCCUUGCCUUUACACCCAGGGUAGAAGACAGUGGAGAUAAAAUUUAAUUUCAAUAAAUUUUCCUUUCGACCUUUUACACAAACCAAUCACAAGGCCAUUCGUGUUUAUCGGCUAAUCCUUUGACGAAAUGAUGGCUAGUUCUAUCUUUCAUUAUUUAGCGACUCCCACUUUUGGCCCAACUCAAAAUCUUCUCUUUUCCUUUAGUUCCGCCUUGGUCGUGGAUCAUCCACGGAUAGAUUCUGAGAGACUACUCUUCAGAUCUCUAUAACAUCACAGCAUCCGAAGACGGACGAAUCUUGGGGCCCAUAAAUGGAAUAUUUAUGGGGGAAAUCUAGAGUUCGUUAUGAUUCGGUGGCCCUCUUCUCCUUCGCGUCUAUCAUUCAGGCAAAAUGCUAUCUUGAGGGGGAUUGAGGAAGUGCAAUUUGUCAUGAUCUUCAAUUGGAAAAGCGCCAAAGGAAUGUUUUUUUUCCUGGAACCGGAUGCCAUCCGACGAUUUCCUGGCUCCCACUCGUGGAACCUCGGAUGAUAGGCGAGCGUCAAUAUUAGCACAAGAUUGCCAUAAAUCAUGACCUUAUCUAUCCGGUGUGGAAAGAGCUAUCAAACAUAUCCCCUGAGGUCCUUG